rnacentral:rRNA from 1 species
GGACCCUACUGCUAUCGGGGGAGGACUAAAACAUGCAAGUCGUGCGUCUCCAAGCUAUGAUGGAGACGCGGCGUACAGCUCAGUAACACGUGGCUAACCCACCCUUGAGACGGAGACAACCCCGGGAAACUGGGGCUAAUCCCCGAUAGGAGAAGACACCUGGAAGGGGUCUUUUCCCAAAAGGCGCUUAGAUCAUGCUUCUAGACGUCGCUCAAGGACGGGGCCGCGGCCGAUCAGGUUGUUGGUGUGGUAAUGGCUCACCAAGCCUAUAACCGGUACGGGCCGUGAGAGCGGGAGCCCGGAGAUGGGCACUGAGACAAGGGCCCAGGCCCUACGGGGCGCAGCAGUUGCGAAAACUCCGCAAUGCACGAAAGUGUGACGGGGCUACCCCGAGUGCCGUCCGCUGAGGGCGGCUUUUCCCCGGUGUAAGGAGCCGGGGGAAUAAGGAGAGGGCAAGUCUGGUGUCAGCCGCCGCGGUAAUACCAGCUCUCCGAGUGGUAGGGAUGAUUAUUGGGCUUAAAGCGUCCGUAGCCGGCCUAGCAAGUCUUCCGUUAAAUCCACCGAUUCAAUCGUUGGACUGCGGGAGAUACUGUUGGGCUAGGGGGCGGGAGAGGCCGACGGUAUUCUCGGGGUAGGGGUAAAAUCCUAUAAUCCCGGGAGGACCACCAGUGGCGAAGGCGGUCGGCUAGAACGCGCUCGACGGUGAGGGACGAAAGCUGGGGGAGCGAACCGGAUUAGAUACCCGGGUAGUCCCAGCUGUAAACGAUGCGGGCUAGGUGUUGGGGCGGCUACGGGCCGCUUCAGUGCCGCAGGGAAACCAUUAAGUCCGCCGCCUGGGGAGUACGGCCGCAAGGCUGAAACUUAA